rnacentral:rRNA from 1 species
CCCUUAGAUGUCCUGGGCCGCACGCGCGUUACACUGAUGCAUUCAACGAGCUUAUAACCUUGGCCGAGAGGCCUGGGCAAUCUUGUUAACGUGCAUCGUGAUAGGGAUAGAUUAUUGAAAUUAUUAAUCUUGAACGAGGAAUUCCUAGUAAACGCAGAUCAUCAAUCUGCAUUGAUUACGUCCCUGCCCUUUGUACACACCGCCCGUCGCACCUACCGAUUGGAUGGUCCGGCGAAGCCUCGGGAUUGUGGUUCUUGCCGCUUUAUUGUAGCGUGACCGCGAGAACUUGUCUAAACCUUAUCAUCUAGAGGAAGGUGAAGUCGUAACA